rnacentral:rRNA from 1 species
GAUGCCGGCUCUAGCGCAUUCAGUGAAGAGGACCUGGUCCAGAUACGAGAAGACCUAGAAAAGGAGCUCGUAGACAAGCACGGUAAGGACUACGCUGAACUGGCGACCCCCUCUGUGGAGAAGGGCCUCCGCCGCUCCCGUCGGAUCUAUCAGUACUACAAGUUCCCGGCUCACGAUGAUGUGG